AAAUGCAUUUAAAGUGCUCUUGUACCCUGGUUCCAUGUGAUUAGUACACAUUAUGUUCUGCCAACGCAAGCAUGAAUCAUUAAUAUAUUCAGAGUCGGCUGCUCUCUGCAAUGAAACGCAAUAACUCAGCGUUGAGUAAAGCAGAGUCCGUGUUUAUAAGACGUGGAGCCUUCAGUUGGUGUGAUCUACAAUGUUGUUAUUUUGUGAGUCCAGGGUAUUGGGGACCUCAGAGACUGCCUGCCUCUCAGAGCAAUCACCAGGACAUUCCCAGAACCCACCUCUCUUUCUUCUCCUUUCCUCUGUGUGGACAGUACUCAACAGCUACGAGUUGGAGAACAGGUGUACUCUGAAGAGAUGUCGCUUGCUUCAAUUACACCAAAUUUGCAAAAGAAGUCAAAUUGCCAGAUUUCAAGGAGGAAACGUUUUUGAAGAGUCAUCAAGCUUGCAAA